rnacentral:rRNA from 1 species
AUACGGAGGAUGCAAGCGUUAUCCGGAUUUAUUGGGUUUAAAGGGUGCGUAGGCGGAUGAUUAAGCGUGAGGUGAAAUGCCACUGCUCAACAGUGGAACUGCCUCGCGAACUGGUUGUCUUGAAUGCUCCUGCCGUGGGAGGAAUGAGUAGUGUAGCGGUGAAAUGCAUAGAUAUUACUCAGAACACCGAUUGCGAAGGCAUCUCACGAAUCCGUCAUUGACGCUGAGGCACGAAAGCGUGGGGAUCAAACAGGAUUAGAUACCCUGGUAGUCCACGCAGUAAACGAUGAUGACUAACCGUCGGCGAUACACAGUCGGUGGCCAAGCGAAAGCGAUAAGUCAUCCACCUGGGGAGUACGUUCGCAAGAAUGAAACUCAAAUGAAUUGGCGGGG